rnacentral:misc_RNA from 1 species
UCCAGCUUAUCGCUGGCGGUCUCCUGAGAGUGCUUCCUUUUAAGGGGAGUGGCAACACAGGACAAGGGUUGCGCUCGUUGCGGGACUUAACCCAACAUCUCACGACACGAGCUGACGACAGCCAUGCAGCACCUCGACUCAAGUCCCUUGCGGGAAGUCCCUGUUUCCAAGGAUGAUCUUAAGCCGUUCGAGCCCAGGUAAGGUUCUUCGCGUUGCGUCGAAUUGAACCACAUGCUCCACCGCUUGUGCGGGCCCCCGUCAAUUCCUUUGAGUUUCAGCCUUGCGGCCGUACUCCCCAGGCGGGGUACUUACUGCGUUAGCGACGGCACCGAAGGGGUCGCUCCCCCCGACGCCUAGUACCCAUCGUUUACGGCGUGGACUAC